rnacentral:lncRNA from 1 species
UUAUAUUUCUAGUAGGGUCACCCAGGACAAGAAGGCUAUUCCAUUAUGCUCAACUAAAUGCUAGCAGGUGUCGGUGGUGUUUUAUCAGUAUGCAAUGAAACAAAGCAGGAAGCGAAAACAUACCGGCUCGGACAUCGCCUGGGUUAACAAGAUCCGCAUCUGUGAGUUAGGCAGAGGCUCACAUUCGGAGCAUUUACUACAGUUUCCCUUGGCCACUGGUAGCAAAAGCAGCACCACCCCAAGUCUGGCUACUGCAAUACACAUACCCACAGUAGGGAAUGGGCCACCACAUCAGAGUCCAACCAGC